AGUCACUGACAUUAGAUACCCGUGUAGUCCAGGGUGUAAACGCUGCCGACUUGGUGUUGGAGGCCCUUCGGGGGCAUUCAGUGCCGGAGAGAAGUUGUUAAGUCGGCCACUUGGGGAGUACGUCCGCAAGGAUGAAACUUAAAGGAAUUGGCGGGGGAGCACCGCAACGGGAGGAGCGUGCGGUUUAAUUGGAUUCAACACCGGAAAACUCACCAAGGGCGACUGUUACAUGAAGGCCGAGAUGAAGACUCUGCUAGAUUUUCAG
rnacentral:rRNA from 1 species